UACGGAGGCAGCAGCAAGGAAUUUUGCGCAAUGGACGAAAGUCUGACGCAGCAACGCCGCGUGAAGGAUGAAGGUCUUCGGAUUGUAAACUUCUUUUAUAAGGGACGAAUGAUGACGGUACCUUAUGAAUAAGCUUCGGCUAACUACGUGCCAGCAGCCGCGGUAAU
rnacentral:rRNA from 1 species